GACGAACGCUGGCGGCGUGCUUAACACAUGCAAGUCGAACGGAAGGGCCCUGCUUUCGUGGGGUGCCCGCGUGGCGAGCGGGUGAGUAACAUGUGAGUAUCCUGCCCUUGACUUUGGGAUAACUUCAGGAAACUGGGGCUAAUACCGGCUAGGAGCUCCUGCUGGAUGGUGGGGGUUGGAAAGCUUCGGCGGUUGGGGGUGGACGCGCGGCUUAUCAGCUUGUUGGGUGGGUAGUGGCCUACCAAGGCUUCGACGGGUGGCCGGCCUGGGAGGGGGGCCGGCCACAUUGGGACUGAGAUACGGCGCAGACUCCAAUGGGAGGCAGCAGUGGGGAAUAUUGCACAAUGGGCGGAAGCCUGAUGCGGCAACGCCGCGUGCGGGAUGACGGCCUUCGGGUUGGAAACCGCAUUCGCCUGAGACGAAGCGUGAGUGACGGUAAUGGGUAAAGAAGCACCGGCUAACUACGUG
rnacentral:rRNA from 1 species